rnacentral:rRNA from 1 species
GAUGAACGCUGGCGGCGUGCCUAACACAUGCAAGUCGAGCGAUGAAGUUUCCUUCGGGAAAUGGAUUAGCGGCGGACGGGUGAGUAACACGAGGGUAACCUGCCUCAUAGAGUGGAAUAGCCUUCCGAAAGGAAGAUUAAUACCGCAUAAUGUUGAAAGAUGGCAUCAUCAUUCAACCAAAUGAGCAAUCCGCUAUGAGAUGGACCCGCGGCGCAUUAGCUAGUUGGUGGGGUAACGGCCUACCAAGGCGACGAUGCGUAGCCGACCUGAGAGGGUGAUCGGCCACAUUGGGACUGAGACACGGCCCAGACUCCUACGGGAGGCAGCAGUGGGGAAUAUUGCACAAUGGGGGAAACCCUGAUGCAGCAACGCCGCGUGAGUGAUGAAGGUUUUCGGAUCGUAAAGCUCUGUCUUUGGGGAAGAUAAUGACGGUACCCAAGGAGGAAGCCACGGCUAACUACGUGCCAGCCGCCGCCGUAA